AAAUUGCUGAAAAGUGUUGCAUUUAUUUUCGUUAUUAUCUGUUUUAAGGUGUUGAUAUAAUCAUGUUUGUAUCACCGUUAAUAGAGCUUCAAUUUUGUAAGAAUUGUCUGUUUCUUUUCUUCCUCGUUUUUUCUCCGUAUUGCUGCCUCUUUAAAUUGUUCGAUUUAAUUAAUAUUUGCAUUCGAUUUCGAUUGUGUAAGAACAGCGUUUAUAGUAUGCUUAGAGACUCAUGUAAAUCUGCCCCUUUUUGUUUUCGUUAUCCAUGACUGUGGACUGCUUAAUUUUGCAAUCCUGUAUUAAUUACUUUUCACCUCAAACGAGAUUUCCGAUCGUCGUCGUUUUGAUAAUUAAGCUAAUUCUGCGGGUGUUUGCAUUUUUCGUGAUGCGCAGAAGGUGGUGAAGGAUUCGUCGAGAGAUUCUAAUGGAGUUCGCCGGAAUGCUUUGGUGCUAUCCGGAAGCAAAAGACCGUCGUCGGAGUCUUUUCGGAGCAAUGAUGAUCGUCGAUUUAGCAAUGCCAAAAGAAUGAGAGUGGGUGUGAGUGCACGGAGCUACGGGUACAACAGCCGUUUAGACGAUUCAAAAGAUCUUCGCCUGAAACUAACACGCAAGAGAAUGGUUAUUCCGUUCUGAAAUAAUAGGAAUUCUACGUCUUGCACGAUCCAGCCUCAUUGUUUGGGAAUGCUUCUGACAGAGCCAUGAAUUUGCUUGAUGAAAAAUUUAAGUUCCUCGCAUGAGCAAAACAGAUAAUCAGUAGGACGGAUGAAGUUCAAAAGGCACUGCUGGCAUGCCUCCAAGAUGCCCCAAAUAAUUCCCUCUUUCAUAAAGAAAACUGCUAUGGAAAGAUGUACCUUCUUAGCACUUGCGAUGAUUCCUUCUUUACCAAACAUUCAAGAAAAUCACAUUUUCCUGAAACAUGGCUCACCGGCAGAGGUAGAUUUGAUUGCGGUUCAUAUCUGGCUCAGACUGGUUAAGGGCAGGAAGUAGAAGCUAUGAAGGAGCGGAUAUGGUGAGACGGCAGUUGACAGGGGUCGAAACUGGAGGCUUCUUCGUGCUUUUGGUGCUAUGCCAAAGCUUUUCCCCAGGAUCUCAUGGUGGAGAGAUUAGUUGGAAUUUGGAAAUAGUUCAACAACCCUUUUACUGAUUUGUUUUGAUUAAAUUUUCAUUUAGCCUUUGCAUAUGGGACUUCAGAACUUGAGAGCUUGAGAGAAAAUGUUAUCUUAAUGUUGUUACUGAGGUUUUUCAGAAUGCCCCUUCUAUGCUUAUUGUUGAGGUUAGAAAAGCAAAGUCAGAUACAGUACAUGCUAGACGCCGCUUUGUUCGAUUCUCGCCGCGGCCACCCCUUCCACUGAUACACAUGGUAGGCCACGUUCCGACGGCUUUCACCUACUUUUUUUCCACCUCGGCCCCUUCUCGACCACAUCGAAUAUUGGAUAAUUCAAAAUUAAUGAUUUCUGGUGCGUCGUCCUUUUUUUUUUCACUUCGCCAUUUCUCUUCCAAAAAUUAUGCAAAUAUAUGUCAAUCAGCCAUUUUCUUUGCUGCUCCUGUUUUUUUUUUUCUUACUGCAAGAUCGGUUCCACUAAAGAAAAAAAAAAUUUGGGUUUUCUAAGUUCCCUGUUUCCGUCCAAAAUUAGGCGUCGCGCUUCUAGCCAACCACAUUUCGUUCCAUGCUUCGGAAUUCUAUCGAAUGAGGUGGACUCAAUUUUUUUUGUCUUUGUUAUAUUUCAGCCAUUUUUCCUCCUGUCAGCACUAAAAGAUUCUGUUUUUCCAGAUUUUAUUUUUUAUUUUUUAUUUUUUUAUUUCUCCUCUCACCAUGCUCUGUGUUAUAUGUUUCAUGCAUAGAGUUUUGCAAAAAAAAGAAAAAAAUGUUUCAUGCAUAAAGAAUUAGAGACCGUUAGUGUUCUUCACUGACCAAAUUAUAAUAGACAAUAAAGCAGAUAUUUUGUAAAUUCAUAUUGAAAAGAAAGCUAAAACAAAAUAGAGCUUAUUUAAUAUCACAAAAAUGCUGGUAAUUUUGGUUUCCAAGAACAAGAGUGUAUAGGGCUUGUUUUUGGUUGCUUAUUGCUGAUUACAUUCAGAUGUUUCUUUUUAAUAAAACGGUUGUGUAUUAGCACCCAUGCCCUUCAUAUUUUGAUAAUUUCGCCUACCUAUCAACGGGGAUGCCUUUCUGUUAAUGCAAACAUUUGACAGUUGAAUAAGCUAUUUAUUUCAGAAGAAAA